UGCUAGAAGAGGUAAAAUAGGGCCCCAGCUGCCAGGAAAUCAGAGCACGCAGCCUUUUCGCUUUCCACAGAGCUUCUUCCAGAUAUCAACAUAAGGGAAAGAAGAUAAUUGUCACAGCAAAGAAAGGUUCUGCUGCUACUCAACCAAAAUGAGGCCACUCGCAUCCAUUUCUUGGGCCAUGAGCAUCUGCAUGUUGGGAAGAUUUCGUGGUAUCUGAUACAGAACCCCAGAGGUGUGGAAGCUGUGCUCCCAACUCAGAUCUCUGCCUCAAACAAUACCACCAUGGUGACUCUCUUGUGUUCUUACUAUGAACAUGAUAUCUUGCUAAGGCUUCUGGAGAAGAACUUGGAACUGGAAUGCUCUGACAAGGCAGUAGAAGUCUAGUUUUGAAACACAAAUAUUAAUAUGCCGGUUGCCCUCUCCAUCUGAAUACAGAUACAAAAGGGAGGCAUUUACUACAUUGUGCUUAGCAAUGGUGCACACUGGGAAACUAUGUUAAAUUUAGACCUUGUUGAUUUAUCAUGUCUAUAUUUUUAACUGAUAAACAUAUCACAGAUGAUACUUGCUUCAAUGUCCUCACAAAAUACUUUGGAAAUGUAAUUAUUUUGUAUGUCUGAAUAAACAUAUUCCCCCCCUU